rnacentral:rRNA from 1 species
UACGUAGGGUGCGAGCGUUGUCCGGAAUUAUUGGGCGUAAAGGGCUCGUAGGCGGUCUGUCGCGUCGGGAGUGAAAACUCAGGGCUUAACCCUGAGCCUACUUCCGAUACGGGCAGACUAGAGGUAUGCAGGGGAGAACGGAAUUCCUGGUGUAGCGGUGGAAUGCGCAGAUAUCAGGAGGAACACCGGUGGCGAAGGCGGUUCUCUGGGCAUUACCUGACGCUGAGGAGCGAAAGCGUGGGGAGCGAACAGG